rnacentral:rRNA from 1 species
AACUGUGUGCGGUGGAUCACUUGGCUCGUGCGUCGAUGAAGAGUGCAGCCAACUGUGUGAAUUAAUGUGAAUCGCAGACUGCUUUGAACAUCGACAUUUCGAACGCAUCUAG